rnacentral:rRNA from 1 species
CCUACGGGGGGCUGCAGUGAGGAAUAUUGGUCAAUGGACGGAAGUCUGAACCAGCCAUGCCGCGUGCAGGAAGACGGCUCUAUGAGUUGUAAACUGCUUUUGUACAAGGGUAAACCUGAAUACGUGUAUUCAGCUGAAAGUACUGUACGAAUAAGGAUCGGCUAACUCCGUGCCAGCAGCCGCGGUAAUACGGAGGAUCCAAGCGUUAUCCGGAUUUAUUGGGUUUAAAGGGUGCGUAGGCGGAUUGAUAAGUUAGAGGUGAAAUGUCCGAGCUUAACUCGGGAACUGCCUCUAAUACUGUUGAUCUAGAGAGUAGAUGCGGUAGGCGGAAUGUAUGGUGUAGCGGUGAAAGGCUUAGAGAUCAUACAGAACACCGAUUGCGAAGGCAGCUUACCAAUCUAUAUCUGACGUUGAGGCACGAAAGCGUGGGGAGCAAACAGGAUUAGAUACCCCUGUAGUC